GACGAACGCUGGCGGCGUGCUUAACACAUGCAAGUCGAACGGAAAGGCCCCUUUGGGGGUACUCGAGUGGCGAACGGGUGAGUAACACGUGAAUAACCUGCCCUUGACUUCGGGAUAACUUCAGGAAACUGGGGCUAAUACCGGAUAGGAAUCCUUGCUGCAUGGUGGGGGUUGGAAAGCUUCGGCGGUUUUGGAUGGACUCGCGGCUUAUCAGCUUGUUGGUGGGGUAGUGGCUUACCAAGGCUUUGACGGGUAGCCGGCCUGAGAGGGCGACCGGCCACAUUGGGACUGAGAUACGGCCCAGACUCCUACGGGAGGCAGCAGUGGGGAAUAUUGCACAAUGGGCGGAAGCCUGAUGCAGCAACGCCGCGUGCGGGAUGACGGCCUUCGGGUUGUAAACCGCUUUCAGCAGGGGCGAAGCUUGUGGUGACGGUACCUGCAGAAGAAGCACCGGCUAACUACGUG
rnacentral:rRNA from 1 species